rnacentral:rRNA from 1 species
AUUGAACGCUGGCGGCAGGCCUAACACAUGCAAGUCGAACGGUAACAGGAAGCAGCUUGCUGCUUUGCUGACGCGUGGCGGACGGGUGUGUAAUGUCUGGCAAACUCCCCGAUGGCGGGGGGUAACUCCUGGAAACGGUUGCUAAUACCGCAUAACGUCGCAAGACCAAAGAGGGGGACCUUAGGGCAUCUUGCCAUCGGAUGUGCCCCGAUGUGGGAUUAGCUAGUUGGUGGUGUAAGGGCCCAUCAAGGCGACGAUCCGUAGCUGGUCUGAGAGGAUGAUCAGCCACACUGGAACUGAGACACGGUCCAGACUCCUACGGGAGGCAGCAGUGGGGAAUAUUGCACAAUGGGCGCAAGCCUGAUGCAGCCAUGCCGCGUGUAUGAAGAAGGCCUUCGGGUUGUAAAGUACUUUCAUCGGGGAGGAAGGGAGUAAAGUUAAUACCUUGGCGCAUUGACGUUACCCGCAGAAGAAGCACCGGCUAACUCCGUG